UACAGAGGGUGCAAGCGUUGUUCGGAAUUAUUGGGCGUAAAGCGCGUGUAGGCGGCUUUGCAAGUCGGGUGUGAAAGCCCUCGGCUCAACCGAGGAAGUGCGCCCGAAACUGCAGAGCUUGAGUACCGGAGAGGAUGGCGGAAUUCCCCAAGUAGAGGUGAAAUUCGUAGAUAUGGGGAGGAACACCGGUGGCGAAGGCGGCCAUCUGGACGGAUACUGACACUGAGACGCGAAAGCGUGGGUAGCAAACAGG
rnacentral:rRNA from 1 species